rnacentral:lncRNA from 1 species
CCCUGCUCAACAGUGUGCUCCCGGUGAUACUGCUGCCCAGAACGGGGACUGGCUUUGCUAACAUCCUGACGAGACAUCGGGGAGAGACGGGAAGUGGCAGGUUGGGUAAGAUAGAGGAGGAAAGGACUCUACCUCAUGGCUUGUCCAGAAGAGGGCAGGGCCACCCUUGCAGCCAGGCCUCCCGGGCCCUGGAGGUAGGAGGGGGACGACCGCCUCUUAAGAGCACUCUGAAACCAGGAGCCUGUGCUUCUGGGCCUGGAGGCUUCGCUUCCACUGUUCUGCGCUGCCGCCCUGGCCACCUCCCCUCCACUGUGUGGCUUGAGGAGAGGAGCGUGGAGUGGGCAGGCUCUUGAUGCCAAGCCAAGAAUCUGCAUGGCUCAUUUGAAACUUCUCAGUGCCCUUUAUCCCUCGUUCUCUUUUAUGUACAAGCUCGUCUUUCUCCCAUGCAGUUGUAAACCCCAAAGGGUAGGGACUGUAUUCUGUUCCUUAUUUAUAUCCUGUAAGACAGUGACUCUCAAACUCGUCAGAAUCACCUGGGGAGUUUUAAAAACUUGAUUCCUCCAGAAACCAUAAAGACCAAAGAUUUUAAAAUAUCACCAUAUUAAAACAGAAUGAAGCAAAAACCUUCUGUAAAGCUAAACAAACAAACAAACUCAUGAAUCAGUCAGAAGAAAUUAUAAACAAGGGGAAAACAGUAUUUGGAACAUAGAUGGAAGACACACUAAUUUCUUUAAUUUGCAACGAAUAUCUAUAAAUAAGAAAUAUACAAACAACUCAAUAAAUGCUGGGCCAGGAAUCUGAACUGGCAGAACAUGGAAAAGAAAUACCAGUGACCAAGAAACAUAUGAAGAGCCGCUCAUCCUUCCUCAGAAGAGACGCAAAUCAGAACAAUGCCAGACCACUUUUCAUGAAUCUGAUUAGCAAAAAUUAUAAAGUUUCAUGAUGCCCAUUGCUGAUGAGAGUAUGGAAGCAGAUGCCAGUGAAUGCAACCUUGGUGGAUUUUGGCAUCUGUGUGACGAGGUGGGGCAGUGACUCUCACACCUGCAUGAGCUUCCGAAUCACAUGAUGAACUUUUAAAAACAUAGAUUCCCUGCGCCCCCAUCCCAUACCGCCAUAAGACACCCACAUGUAAUUAAGGGCACAAUUUGUGAAGUUCCAAAUGGUAAUAGAGACCAGACUAAUAAAUUUCAACUAAAGGAAUUUUGUCAACAUACAUUAACAUUUUUAAAACAUGAGUAACCUUUGACCCAGCAAUUCUACCGAUGGGAGCUGAUUCUGAAAUUUCCCACAAAAGAGUAUCAACGUCGACAAGAAUGUAUGCCCACGGCAGCAUUAUUUGUAUAGCAAACAACCUCAAUGUCCAUCAAUAGGAACCUGAAUAAAUAAACUGUGGCACACUCUUAGAUCUUUUAAAGAGAUUUAGUAGGAACUCCAUUUGCUGAUAUAGAGCAGUCUCUGAGUUAUGUUGUGCAAUGAAAAAAUCAAGCAGCAGAACAGUAUAAAUGGUGUAAUCCAUUUUCCACACAACUUUUAAAAUGAUACACCAUAUACUUUGGUAAAUGCACAAAUUCUUUUUCAAUGGAAAAUCUACAAGAAGCUGAUAACAGUGGCACCUUUGAGGGAAGGAUGAGAAGAGAGGUUCUUACCUUUCAUUCAGUACUGCUUGAUUUUCCUGCUUUGUGCAUUGAUUACUUUUAGUGGAGAACUUCAGUGAGUGUCAUCUGAAUGGUGGAGUUAUGGGACAAUUUUGGUUUCUCCUUUAGAGUUUUCUGUAAAGGAUAUUCAAGAAUUGAAGAUUCGCAGGCCAUAUACCAGAUACACCAAGUUUGGGUGGAGAUGCUGGCAUGGGACUCUAGAAAUCAGCUUGUCAUGUGAUUCUCCUCAUCAGUCAGGUUUAAGACUCACUGCAGAAGAUUCUGGAAGAAAGAUGCCCUCUUCUCUAGCUCAGGGGGUAUCAGGAUGAGAGGGUGGGGUGGCUGCAGCCCUUUUGUUUCCAUGGAAGGAGAACCUGAAUGACCUUGUGCGACCUAAGGUCAAAGAAAUGCAUAGCUGGCAAGUAAACCACAGAGAGGAACUUGUCCCCUGGUACAUCAGUAGGCCACAGAAUCAUGUCUUUUUCUGAAGAAGGACGUCCUGUGUCUAGACUUUUCAGUUAUGAAGCCAAUACAUCCUCUUUGUUGUUUAACGCAGCUUGAGUUAGGUCUUUUGUCACAUGCAAUAUUAAGAAUCCUAACUGAUAGACCUCCACUGAGACAAGCUGAGUAUGUCUUUAUCCCUUGCAGCCUGAAAUUGCCUAAUUUAUAAAGUAUUUCAUGAUGUUUGCAAGAUAAACCCUUGUCUGGUGCCUUGGGCUACAUCUGAUUGCCUGCAAUAUUUCUGCCUCUAGAAAUGAACUGUCAAACCAAGAAGUAUGUCCUUGGAAUGCAUCCUCCACGUUAGCAAAAGAAUUAUGUGUUUUGUUUGCUCUUCAUCAUGCAACUCUUGAAUAAAUUUGGAUGCAACAGAUUAAGGGCAUAACCAGGAAAUA